rnacentral:misc_RNA from 1 species
AAGACUAUAGACCUGCGGAGUACCUGCGGAGGGAUCAUUACAGGACUCGCAAGACUCCUACAACCCUGUGAACUUAACUAUAAGCACGUUGCUUCGGCGGGUGUCUCGGCGAGGGUUCUCCCUCCCCGGGGCGCUAAGCCCGCCGGCAGCCUACUAUACUCUGUCUCUUUGCGUUGGCAUCUCGAGUACAAACAAACAAGUUAAAACUUUUAACAAUGGAUCUCUAGAUCGGAAGAGCAC